UUGACCUCGGAUCAGGUAGGAAUACCCGCUGAACUUAAGCAUAUCAAUAAGCGGAGGAAAAGAAACCAACAGGGAUUGCCCUAGUAACGGCGAGUGAAGCGGCAACAGCUCAAAUUUGAAAUCUGGCCUCGGCCCGAGUUGUAAUUUGCAGAGGAUGCUUCUGGCGCGGUGCCUUCCGAGUUCCCUGGAACGGGACGCCACAGAGGGUGAGAGCCCCGUAUGGUCGGACACCAAGCCUGUGUGAAGCUCCUUCGACGAGUCGAGUAGUUUGGGAAUGCUGCUCUAAAUGGGAGGUAAAUCUCUUCUAAAGCUAAAUACCGGCCAGAGACCGAUAGCGCACAAGUAGAGUGAUCGAAAGAUGAAAAGCACCUUGAAAAGGGGGUUAAAUAGUACGUGAAAUUGUUGAAAGGGAAGCACUUGUGACCAGACUUGGGCCGGGCGGCUCAUCAGGGGUUCUCCCCUGUGCACUCCGCCCGGCACAGGCCAGCAUCGGUUUUCGCGGGGGGACAAGACCGCCGGGAACGUAGCACCCUCCGGGGUGUGUUAUAGCCCGGCGGACGAUACCCCCGC
rnacentral:rRNA from 1 species